UACAGAGGUCUCAAGCGUUGUUCGGAUUCAUUGGGCGUAAAGGGUGCGUAGGCGGCGCGGUAAGUCGGGUGUGAAAUCUCGGGGCUUAACUCCGAAACUGCAUUCGAUACUGCCGUGCUUGAGGACUGGAGAGGAGACUGGAAUUUACGGUGUAGCGGUGAAAUGCGUAGAUAUCUGGAGGAACACCGGUGGCGAAGGCGGCAUCCUGGACCAACACUGACGCUGAGGAGCGAAAGCCAGGGGAGCAAACGGG
rnacentral:rRNA from 1 species